UGGGGAAUAUUGGACAAUGGGGGCAACCCUGAUCCAGCCAUGUCGCGUGUGUGAAGAAGGCCUUCGGGUUGUAAAGCACUUUAAGUGGGGAGGAAGGGGUGAGCAUUAAUACUGAUCAUCAUUGACGCUACCCACAGAAUAAGCACGGGCUAACUCUGUG
rnacentral:rRNA from 1 species